rnacentral:rRNA from 1 species
CUGAAGAGCAUACCGCGUGAGGGAAUAAGAAGGCCUAUGGGUUGUAAACCUCUUUUCUCAAAGAAGAAGAUCUGACGUUAUUUGAGGAAUAAGCAUCGGCUAACCCUGUGCCAGCAGCCGCGGUAAU